rnacentral:rRNA from 1 species
UACGGAGGAUGCAAGCGUUAUCCGGAAUGAUUGGGCGUAAAGCGUCCGCAGGUGGCUGUGUAAGUCUGCUGUCAAAGAGCGAAGCUCAACUUCGUAAAGGCAGUGGAAACUACACGGCUAGAGUGCGUUCGGGGCAAAGGGAAUUCCUGGUGUAGCGGUGAAAUGCGUAGAGAUCAGGAAGAACACCGGUGGCGAAGGCGCUCUGCUAGGCCGCAACUGACACUGAGGGACGAAAGCUAGGGGAGCGAAUGGG